AUGAUUUGUCGUUGGUUUGUUGUCAAAUCAAGAACUGUAGUUGUGUUCUCGUUUUGCACUGUUGUCACAUCAAGAGCUGUAGUUGUGUCCUCGUUUUGCACUGUUGUCACAUCAAUAACUGUGGUUGUGUUCUGGUUUUGGUCUGUUGUCAAACUUGGGGUUGUUGUGAUUUGUCCUUGCGCUGUUGUCAUAUCAAGAACUGUAUUUGCGUUUUGGUUUUGCUUUGUUGUCAUUUCAGGAGUUGCGGUUGUGUUCUGGUUUUGCUCUGUAGAAACAGCAAGAACUGUAUUUGUGUUCUGGUUUUGCUUUGUUAUCACAUCAAGAACUGUAGUUGUGUUCUGGUUUUGUUCUGUUGUCAAUAUAGGGGCUGUGGUUGUGAUCUGGUUUUGCUCUGUUGUCAAUAUAGGGGCUGUGGUUGUGUUCUGGUUUUGCUCUGUUGUCAAUAUUGUGGCUGUGGUUGUGUUCUGGUUUUGUUCUGUUGUCACAUCAAGAGCUGUGGUUGUGAUCUGGUUUUGUUCUGUUGUCACAUCAAGAGCUGUAGUUGUGUUCUGGUUUUGUUCUGUUGUCACAUCAAGAACUGUAGUUGUGUUCUGGUUUUGUUCUGUUGUCACAUCAAGAACUGUAGUUGUGUUCUGGUUUUGUUCUGUUGUCACAUCAAGAGCUGUAGUUGUGUUCUGGUUUUGUUCUGUUGUCAAUAUUGUGGUUGUGGUUAUGUUCUGGUUUUGCUCUGUUGUCAAUAUUGUGGCUGUGGUUGUGAUCUGGUUUUGUUCUGUUGUCACAUCAAGAACUGUAGUUGUGUUCUGGUUUUGUUCUGUUGUCACAUCAAGAACUGUAGUUGUGAUCUGGUUUUGUUCUGUUGUCACAUCAAGAACUGUAGUUGUGUUCUGGUUUUGCUCUGUUGUAAAUAUUGUGGCUGUGGUUGUGUUCUGGUUUUGCUCUGUUGUCAAUAUUGUGGCUGUGGUUGUGUUCUGGUUUUGCUCUGUUGUCACAUCAAGAGUUGUGGUUGUGUUCUGGUUUUGCUCUGUUGUCAAUAUUGUGGCUGUGGUUGUGUUCUGGGUUUGUUCUGUUGUCACAUCAAGAACUGUAGUUGUUGUCUGGGUUUGUUCUGUUGUCACAUCAAGAGCUGUGGUUGUGUUCUGGUUUUGCUCUGUUGUCAAUAUUGUGGCUGUGGUUGUGUUCUGGGUUUGUUCUGUUGUCACAUCAAGAGCUGUGGUUGUGUUCUGGGUUUGUUCUGUUGUCACAUCAAGAACUGUAGUUGUGGUCUGGUUUUGCUCUGUUGUCACAUCAAGAACUGUAGUUGUGUUCUGGUUUUGCUCUGUUGUCAAUAUUGUGGCUGUGGUUGUGUUCUGGUUUUGUUCUGUUGUCACAUCAAUUGCUGUGGUUGUGUUCUGGUUUUGUUCUGUUGUCACAUCAAUUGCUGUGGUUGUGUUCUGGUUUUGUUCUGUUGUCACAUCAAUUGCUGUGGUUGUGUUCUGGUUUUGUUCUGUUGUCACAUCAAUUGCUGUGGUUGUGUUCUGGUUUUGUUCUGUUGUCACAUCAAGAACUGUAGUUGUGUUCUGGUUUUGCUCUGUUGUCACAUCAAGAACUGUAGUUGUGUUCUGGUUUUGCUCUGUUGUCAAUAUUGUGGCUGUGGUUGUGUUCUGGUUUUGUUCUGUUGUCACAUCAAUUGCUGUGGUUGUGUUCUGGUUUUGUUCUGUUGUCACAUCAAGAACUGUAGUUGUGAUCUGGUUUUGCUCUGUUGUCAAUAUUGUGGCUGUGGUUGUGUUCUGGUUUUGUUCUGUUGUCACAUCAAGAGCUGUGGUUGUGGUCUGGUUUUGCUCUGUUGUCACAUCAAGAACUGUAGUUGUUGUCUGGGUUUGUUCUGUUGUCACAUCAAGAGCUGUGGUUGUGUUCUGGGUUUGUUCUGUUGUCACAUCAAGAGCUGUGGUUGUGUUCUGGGUUUGUUCUGUUGUCACAUCAAGAGCUGUGGUUGUGUUCUGGUUUUGUUCUGUUGUCACAUCAAGAGCUGUAGUUGUGGUCUGGUUUUGUUCCAUUGUCAUAACAAGAGCUGUGGUUGUGUUCUGGUUUUGUUCUGUUGUCACAUCAAUUGCUGUGGUUGUGUUCUGGUUUUGUUCUGUUGUCACAUCAAGAACUGUAGUUGUGUUCUGGUUUUGCUCUGUUGUCACAUCAAGAACUGUAGUUGUGUUCUGGUUUUGCUCUGUUGUCAAUAUUGUGGCUGUGGUUGUGUUCUGGUUUUGUUCUGUUGUCACAUCAAUUGCUGUGGUUGUGUUCUGGUUUUGUUCUGUUGUCACAUCAAGAACUGUAGUUGUGGUCUGGGUUUGUUCUGUUGUCAAUAUUGUGGCUGUGGUUGUGUUCUGGUUUUGUUCUGUUGUCACAUCAAUUGCUGUGGUUGUGUUCUGGUUUUGUUCUGUUGUCACAUCAAGAACUGUAGUUGUGUUCUGGUUUUGCUCUGUUGUCAAUAUUGUGGCUGUGGUUGUGUUCUGGUUUUGUUCUGUUGUCACAUCAAUUGCUGUGGUUGUGUUCUGGUUUUGUUCUGUUGUCACAUCAAGAACUGUAGUUGUUGUCUGGGUUUGUUCUGUUGUCACAUCAAGAGCUGUGGUUGUGUUCUGGGUUUGUUCUGUUGUCACAUCAAGAGCUGUGGUUGUGUUCUGGGUUUGUUCUGUUGUCACAUCAAGAGCUGUGGUUGUGUUCUGGUUUUGUUCUGUUGUCACAUCAAGAGCUGUAGUUGUGGUCUGGUUUUGUUCCAUUGUCAUAACAAGAGCUGUGGUUGUGUUCUGGUUUUGUUCUGUUGUCACAUCAAGAACUGUGGUUGUGUUCUGGGUUUGUUCUGUUGUCACAUCAAGAGCUGUAGUUGUGGUCUGGUUUUGUUCCGUUGUCAUAACAAGAGCUGUGGUUGUGUUCUGGUUUUGCUCUGUUAUACUUGGGGUUGUCGUGAUUUGUGUUUGUUCUGUUGUCAUAUCAAGAACUGUAGUUGUGGUCUGGUUUUGUUCCAUUGUCAUAACAAGAGCUGUGGUUGUGUUCUGGUUUUGCUCUGUCAUCAUACUUGUGGUUGUCGUGAUUUGGUGUUGUUCUGUUGUCGUUACUGGGGCUGUGGUUGUGAUUUCACUUUGUUCUAUUGUCGUAUUUAAAGCAUUAAUUGUGUUUUGGUUUUGGUUUGUUGUAUUCACAGCUGUAGUUGUGUUACGGUUUUGUUCUUUUGUAUCUAUCGCUGUAGUUUGGUUUGUUGUCACGUUUGGGGCUGUAGUCAUGAUUUGGUUUUGUGCUAUUGUGGCUGUUGUGUUACCACCUUGCUCUGUUGUCAUAUUUGGGGCUGCAGUUGUGUUUUGAUUUUGUUCUAAAGUAUCUACAACUGUAGUUGUGUUACGGCUUGGGUUCGUUGUAUUACCAGCUGUUUGGUUACGGUUUUGCUCUAUUGUAUUUACAGGUGUAGUUGUGAUUUGGCUUUGUUUUGUUGUCAUAUUAGGGGCUAUAGUUGUGUUGUGGUUUUGCUCUAUUGUAUCUAUUGCUGUAGUUGUGCUUUGGGUUUGGUUUGUUGGCUUAUUUGAGGCUGUUGCUGUGUUACUGCUUUGCUCUGUUGUCGUAUUUAAGGCUGUAGUUGUGUUUUGAUUUGUCCCUGUUGUAUUUACAGCUGUAGUUGUGUCUUGACUUUGAUGUGUUGUUCUAUUCAGGACUGUGGCUGUGUUUUGGCUUUGCGCUGUGUUUACAGUAGAGGGUGUCGUGUUGUCGUUUUCUAUAGUUGUAUUUGAAGCCUCGGUUGUGUUUGAAUGAGGUAAUAUUAUAAUACUCGAGGCUGUGGUAGUAAUACUGCUUUGUAAGGUAUCUACUGGGACAGUUUGUGUGGUAUGUAGUGUUAUGUUGGCAGCAGUAGUUGCGUGUACGAUGGGUGAUGUAGGUUCUUCACGAUUUGAAAACACAAAGGUCUCCAAAUUGUUUUGAAAUGCCUGGUUGAGCUGGGAAAACAAAAAGGAUACACAUGAGCUGUACUGACACUUACACUUACUUUUGUACAUCUCCCUUUAAAAGCCAACAUCAAACCAUUAAACCA
ensembl:lncRNA